UCUUGGAUUUUGUGUGACUGCACCCUCACUUGCCCAGACCUGUUGCCCUUAUGUUGCGUCCUACUCCGAGCCACCAGGGGGGGCGUAACAUAAAUUGGGGGCUCGUCCGGGAUCCUUGAUCCUUUUAAGCAACGGGUUUGAUGAGUGUUGGUGUGCAGUGCACACGUCAAGUAGGCUGGUAGUGUUGGUUAGGUUGGUAAAGUUUUGGGUAAGGCUAUUUGAGGAAAAAUGAGUGUGUUUAACCUUGAGGGAUUUCUUAGUGAUCCUUCUGUGGAUCAGAUUGAUCGCUGCAGGAAAAAAGAUUUGUAUGCCAUUGCGGCACAUUUUUCAUUUGAAGCAUCAGCAGGUCUGCUUAAAGCUGAAUUGAAAGAAGCUGUUGUACAGAUGUUAGUACACGAAAAAGUGUUUGGUACUGGCAGCGGUGCGACUGCUAGUGAGCCUACUAUUUCCCCAUCCUUGUCUUCUAGCUCAGAGAAGGAGAGCAGGGAGGAAGUAGUAGUUGAGAGAGGGCUGGUUGAGAGUAGGCCAGUUCCUGUAGAUACAGACGCUAAUGUGGAGUUUAAGCCUCCUCAUACUGUGCCCCGAUUCUCUCCAUUUUCCUUACCUAGGGUAAGUGAUGAUGCCCGCCAUAGGCUACGCAUAGCGCGUUUGCAACUGGAGGCUCAGGAAAAAGAUAGAGACGCAGAAUACAGUCACAAGUUGGCUAUUCGGAAGAUGGAGCUAGAGAUGGAGGCGGACACCGCCAACCGCAAAAUUGAAUUGGAGAUAGCUGCAGAAAAAGAGGUGAAGCUUAAGCGCCUAGAAUUGGAAGCUGCUUCUCUGAGUUUAGCUCAAUCACCUGGUCAUAGGUCCAUACAUUCUGGUCCCUCUGCGCCUACGAGAGGUUUUGAGGUGAGCAGAAAUGUUGUUUUGGUGCCUCAAUUUCGUGAGGCGGAAGUAGAUGCCUAUUUUACUGCGUUUGAGCGAGUUGCCACCUCACUGAAAUGGCCAAAAGAGGUCUGGUCGAUACUGCUUCAGUGUAAGCUGACAGGUAAGGCCCAGGAAAUUUAUGCUGCACUUUCUCUAGAAGAGAGUUUAUGCUAUGAGAGUAUUAAGACAGCUGUGCUUCGUGCCUACGAACUAGUGCCUGAGGCCUAUAGACAGAAAUUUAGAACUUUUAAAAAAAUGUCUGAUAAAACCUUUGUUGAGUUCGCCCGUGAGAAGGAGACUUUGUUUAAUCGAUGGUGCAAGGCAAGCAACGCGGUAGAUUUUAACACUCUGUCACAAUUGGUUCUCAUUGAAGAGUUUAAGAAUAGUCUGCCUGAUCGUAUUGUGACGUAUCUCAAUGAGCAAAAGGUAGGGACAUUAGCGGAGGCUGCUGUGCUUGCCGAUGAGUUUGUUUUAUCGCACAAACAAACUUUUGUGAGUCCCCGUUAUGAGAGUAGGUCUUUUACUCCUGCUGCCUCGGCUAGAAGGCCGUCUAGUCCUCCACGUCCAUUGCCACUCCGCUCCACUGAGGAACGAGAGUGUUUCUAUUGUCACCAAACAGGUCACGUAAAGAAUGACUGUUUUAUGUUGAAACGCAAGCUGUCACAGCCAAGCAAACGACCAAAAGAGGUUUUGUUAGUGCGAACGUUGGUGGGUCCAGUGUCCCUAGCCCCGGAGAUGGAGGGUGACAAUCUGGAACCCUGUUAUAAACCGUUCAUGUUGGACGGGUUGGUUUCUCUCAGCGCAAAUGCGUUGAACCAGUGUCCAGUGCGUAUCCUUAGAGAUACUGGUGCAGCACAGUCUUUUAUCUUAUCGGAGGUGUUACCUUUUAGUAAUGACUCGUUAAGUGGCUCUAGUGUGCUUGUGCAAGGCAUUGAAAUGGGGUUUGUGUCUGUGCCUCUCCAUGAGAUACAUUUGUCCUGUGACUUAGCAAAUGGAGUGUUUAAAGUGGGUGUGCGCCCGUCUUUGCCUGUUAGAGGCGUCACAUUUCUACUAGGGAAUGACAUCGCUGGUGGCAAAGUGAUGCCAGUUUUAGAAGUUCUAGAACGACCUGAGAUUUUGCAGCCUGAUGUGUUGGCUCAGGACUUCCCUGAAGUGUUCCCUGUGUGUGUGGUCACUCGUGCUCAAGCACGUAGUUUGGGUGAAGCAGUUGUUUUGUCGGAUACUCUCUUCGCGACUGAGUUGACCGGCCAGACUGUUUCUCCACCUGUGUUUCCGCAGUCUACUGCUGAGCCGAGUGUCCAGCCUAAGGUUCAAUGUGAUACUUCCACCAAAGAGACAACUAGGUUGCCUAUGAUUAGAAGUAAUCUGAUUGCUGCUCAGAAAGACGACGUGACUUUGGUGAAGUGUUUUGAUGCGGCUCUUGCUCCAGAGAGCGCUAAAAAUAAAGAAAGUGAUUAUUUUGUUGAAAAUGAUCUCUUGAUGCGGAGAUGGAAAUCUCGCGCUGAGUUUAAUAAUGACUGGACUAAUGUCUUUCAAAUUGUUGUGCCUACACCGUACCGACAGUCCGUUCUAUCUCUGGCUCAUGAACAUCUCUGGUCUGGUCAUCUAGGUAUUACAAAAACCUAUGACCGAGUGUUGCGACAGUUCUUCUGGCCAGGUUUGAAGCGAGAUGUGUCGUUGUUUUGCCGUACAUGCCAUGUAUGUCAGGUCACGGGGAAGCCUAACCAGGUUAUAAAGCCUGCGCCUCUUCACCCGGUCCCAGCUAUAGGGGAACCGUUUGAGCAUGUACUUGUGGAUUGUGUUGGCCCUCUGCCAAAAACGAAAUCCGGUAACCAGUUCCUGUUGACCAUAAUGUGUGUAGCUACCCGGUACCCUGAGGCGAUCCCUCUUAGGAGCAUAACAGCUCAGUCAGUAGUAAAGGCCCUGAUCAAGUUCUUUUCUACUUUCGGGCUCCCUAAGAUCGUGCAAACCGAUCAAGGUACCAACUUCCUUUCGGGUAUUUUUGAACAGGUUUUAACAUCACUGUCUAUAUCACACAGAAUCUCGAGUGCUUAUCACCCGGAGUCACAGGGCGCGCUCGAAAGAUGGCAUCAGACUUUUAAGUCAGUGUUGCGGAAAUAUACCAUGGAGAGUGGUAGGGAGUGGGAUGAAGGAGUCCCUUUGGCUUUAUUUGCAGUUAGGGAAAUAGUGCAAGAGUCACUAGGAUUUAGUCCAGCAGAGCUGGUAUUUGGUCACACAGUGAGAGGCCCUUUAAGAAUGUUGAGAGACCAGCUAACUGGCGAGAGUUCGCCCACCCAGCGAAACGUUCUGACCUACGUGAGUCGCUUCAGAGAACGACUGCACGAGGCUUGCAGUAUCGCUAGGGAAAGUCUCUCUGUUGCACAACAGGGUAUGAAGCGGCAUUUCGAUAAGAAAGCACUUCCGCGGUCUUUUCAAGCAGGUGACUUGGUUUUAGUGUUGCUGCCCAUUCCAGGUAGUUCAAUGAGUGCACGAUUUUCAGGACCGUACACUAUUGACAGGAGUUUGAGUGAGACUGAUUAUGUAGUGAGAACCCCUGAUAGAAGGCGGAAAACCAGAGUGUGUCACAUUAACAUGUUGAAGAAGUACUACACUAGAGGCGACGCUCAGCUUGAGACACGCAGUGCGCCUCUUGUAGCCACUGUUGCGGCUGCGGUGUCAGUAGCUGUGAGCCCUACGGCAGUGAGUGAUGAGGAUGGCCUGAGUUUGCGCAAUGCCCAGCAACAGACCCCUCGGUUGACAAACUCAGAAAUGUUGUUAAAACUACCGUCUUUAAUGCAUCAUUUAAGCAGGGAACAGGAAGCUGACCUACUCUGCCUUAUCUCUGAGUUCCCCUGUCUGUUUGGAGAUGUGCCUACCCGCACUACGGUGUUAGAGCACGACAUAGAUGUGGGUGAGUCCAGACCGACUAAACAGCACCCAUACAGAGUAAAUGCCUACAAGAGAUCUCUGAUGAAGAAAGAGGUUGAUUAUUUAUUGGAACAUAAUUUAGCACAGCCCAGCUCUAGCCCAUGGAGUUCUCCGUGCUUAUUAGUUCCAAAGCCUGACGCGACUGUCCGAUUCUGUACAGAUUAUCGGAAGGUAAACAAUGUCACUGUGCCAGACUCUUUUCCUAUGCCCCGCGUAGAUGAUUGCGUGGAUACCAUAGGAUCAGCUCGCUUUGUAACAAAGUUAGACCUAUUGAAAGGUUAUUGGCAAGUUCCCCUUUCACCACGGGCUUCUGCCAUCAGUGCUUUUGUGACUCCAGAUAAUUUUCUACAGUAUUGCGUGAUGGCUUUCGGGAUGCGAAACGCACCGGCCACUUUCCAGAGGUUGGUGAAUAUUGUGUUUAGUGGUGUGCCUAACUGUACUGCAUAUUUGGAUGAUGUGGUAAUACACUCGUCAGAGUGGCCUGCUCAUGUGGAUUCGCUCAGAACCGUGUUUCAACGACUGGCUGAUGCGUCUCUGACACUGAACCUCGCGAAAUGUGAGUUUGGGAAGGCGACGGUGACCUACUUGGGUAAACAGGUGGGCGGAGGCCAAGUGCGUCCCUUGGAGGCCAAGAUCGCAGCUAUUACGUCUUUCCCAGUACCCACCACUCGGCGGGAGUUACGCCGAUUCUUAGGAAUGACAGGUUACUACAGAGGGUUCUGUAGGAACUUCUCUUCUGUUGCAGCCCCAAUGACUGACUUGAUCAGUCCAUUGGUUAAGUUUGUAUGGUCAGAUCGGUGUCAAAUCGCCUUUGAAUGCUGCAAAGCGUUAUUGUGUAAUGCCCCAGUACUGAGUGCUCCUGAUUUUGAUAAACCGUUUGCCAUUGAAGUAGAUGCGAGCUGUAUUGGUGCUGGUGCAGUUUUAACGCAAAUGGAUUCUGAGGGUUUGGUCCACCCUGUAGGUUUCUUUUCAAAGAAAUUUAAUAGUAGCCAAAUGCGCUACUCUACAAUAGAGCAGGAGACGUUGGCUUUGCUGCUUGCGCUCCAAUUUUUCGAGGUUUAUGUUGGGUCCAGUGCGGAGCCUGUGGUGAUUUACACAGACCACAAUCCACUGGUGUUUCUGCAUCGCAUGCACAACCAAAACCAGCGACUUAUGCGUUGGUCUUUGGUUAUCACGAAUUACAACCUGGUGAUCCACCACAAAAAGGGCACCGAGAAUGUAUUUGCAGCUGCUCUGUCUCGUGUGUAACUAUUGUGGGACAGUAGUUACUGGGGGCAAUUUUGAUUGAUUUUGCUUUUUAUACUAUUAAAGUUGGGUUUACGGGAUGGUUUGAGGUAUCGUCAGCCAUGGGCUGACUCUUUAUGGGGGGGAGUGUUACGUACAGUGUUCUGUAUGUCUUAUAUGUUAUACAUGGUAUAGGCCUACAUGUAUUGUGUUCUGUUUUGUGUAGUAUGUUUGUGUUGUUGUUCUGUCUCCUCCUCCUGUUUUCAUUCUCCAAGUUCUCAGAUGUGCGCACCUGGUCCCGAUCACCAAAUCACCACACCUGUUCCAGAUCUCCCAUCAACCAUUCCCCUUUAAAUAGUCCUGUGUUUGUUUGUCAGCAGGAAGAGCUUUGGUUUGAGCUGUGGCAGAGCUUUGGUUGAGCUCUGUUUGCUAGUGUUUGCUAGUGUUUGCUAGUGUUUGCUAGUGCUUGGUUUCUUUGUUGGUUUAUUGUAUUGUCUUUAGUGGUUACACGUUUGUUUAAACCUUACUACUUUAGUUGUUAGCAGCCUACUUUAGUUUUGUCUUUGUCUUUGUUAAUUCUUUUGUUGUGCACACAGGGUCAAUAAGGACAGGUAAGAUACCCUGGGGUUUACAUAUUUCAUACACGUAGGUUUACCCGUUGUUAAUACCCUAGGUUAGAGUGAGCACCACCCACUGUACUUUUUCGGUGCAAAGCACCUGUCAAUGGGGGGUUGGGUUUUGUUAUGUUCUUUUCUUUGGUGCCACUGACAGUCCUUGUUGAUCCCUGUGUUGCCUUGUUUUGUACAUAAACACUUUAUAUUGAAUACACCUUUUGUCUUGGAUUUUGUGUGACUGCACCCUCACUUGCCCAGACCUGUUGCCCUUAUGUUGCGUCCUACUCCGAGCCACCAGGGGGGGCGUAACAAUUAUUACUAUUCACAGGUUUUCACAGAUUAUCGAUUCAAUUCAUAACCUGGGGGGCCCACUGUAUAUAAAACAACUAUAUUAAUAAAGCAAUUGCUGAGUUGAAACUGUUUAUAUAUUUUUUACCUUUCAAGAUUAGCUUAUUGGAGGGGCCAGAAUCUUUAUUUAACUCCUGAUAUGGAAUCAUGAUUCCCUAUGAAGAAACCUGUAACGUAGGCCUACCGCUUGAUCCUCCAGAGACAGAGGGGCCCUGCCAGAUCAGCAGAGACCCCAGCUAGGGAGAGAGACGGGGGGCAGCCGCACCACCUGUCUACCCUGGAGAAGCGGAAUUCCUGUCCAGGGCGCAAUUUGCUUGUGCGUGCUUGUGUUUAGGGCGGGGGCGGGGACACAAAAAAAAAAAUUGCACCGGGGCCUAUCACCAUGAUGUUACGCUGCUGCUAAGAGUGUUUUCAGAGUAUUGUUUGGUUAAACUUAUAACAGUGUUUUCCUUAAAUUGAAUUUGAUCAAUUAUUCGGUGUAGCAGCGCUUUGCAUUUUGCCGACUUCAAGGCUUAACUUUGUACUGCAAAGUAAUCUCUUUAUUAAUAAGAUAUAUAUCGCUUCGAUGUAUUAUUCACUAUGGUCACCGGGGGGCACUGUGAGGUCAGGGACGCAAGAAAACAGCCAGGAAGGGUGACUGAUCCUAACGCGUCAGUCUGACAAGAGCCCAGACUUUUGUGACGACCCAUUUUCCUUCCUACUCUAAAUGAGAAUUAAAAGGCAAAGCAUUGCAUGUUGGUCGUGUCAAUCAUUCUGUUUAACAUAACGAUAAUAAAAAAAGCCAACCAUGAAUCAGAACUACAGUUGAGUGUACAAUAAAAGGCAUAUAUACAAAUGCAUUUUUCGGGAGUGUCCCAUCUUUGGUGUCUGCUGCUCCUUUUUAGAGGUCGAGAAGUAUGGACAGGCCUCCUGAACUGUGUAGCGGCGGCGGAGACACCGGACCCCAGCCGCGCUCCAGCUCCUCAGGCCCCCUGAUGUCGUCGGUAGCGUCGGAGGGAUCUCUGACGGAGAUGUGGCAGAUGCUGGACCGGGACCUCAGCCCCUCGCUGCUCACUGAAGGUGAAGCAGAGCUGGACAGGCCAGCCUUCCCAGUUCCUGCUGGGCCUGUUGGCUCAGAUUCCCAGUUGAGGCUGCAGGGCAUCAAGGUGAGGAGCACGAGCGUGGCCCCAUUUCCCGACAGGAGCAGGCCCGGGAAAACCACCUCACAUCAAGCCAAGACCAGCAAGACGGCUGGAACCACCACCACCAACAGGGCCAGUAGAAUAAGGAACUACAACGUCAAAGACUGAAGCUUGGGCUUGGUUGUGUGUUGGUGUUAAUCAGCUGGUUAACAUGGGUUGAGCGUGACCAAAUGGACAUUACAUGUUAGGCAGCUGACACAGCUUUGGACCUCUGGAAGAAUGGCUCGCUGGUCAUCUUUUAGUCCAGGAGAGGAAAAAGAAUGCCAGCAAUCAUGCCGCACGGUAAUCCUGCCUUUUAAUAUGUUUCAGGACAAAGUAAUGAAUGUUUCUUUCUGUAGCUCUGUACGUGUACCAAUUGUAUUCAUUUGAAACUGUAGAAUCAAAAUGUUUGAUUGGCAGAAUCAGAAGAGGCUACGAGUACCUUCACUACAGAAUAAAUACUUAAUUACA